AUUGAACGCUGGCGGCAUGCCUUACACAUGCAAGUCGAACGGUAACAGGUUAAGCUGACGAGUGGCGAACGGGUGAGUAAUGUAUCGGAACGUGCCCAGUCGUGGGGGAUAACUGCUCGAAAGGGCAGCUAAUACCGCAUACGACCUGAGGGUGAAAGCGGGGGAUCGCAAGACCUCGCGCGAUUGGAGCGGCCGAUAUCAGAUUAGGUAGUUGGUGGGGUAAAAGCCUACCAAGCCAACGAUCUGUAGCUGGUCUGAGAGGACGACCAGCCACACUGGGACUGAGACACGGCCCAGACUCCUACGGGAGGCAGCAGUGGGGAAUUUUGGACAAUGGGCGCAAGCCUGAUCCAGCCAUGCCGCGUGC
rnacentral:rRNA from 1 species